CGGUAAAAGCUCAAAUUUGAAAUCUGGCUCUUUUAGAGUCCGAAUUGUAAUUUGUAGAGGAUGCUUUUGGUUAGGUACCUUCCGAGUUCCUUGGAACAGGACGCCUUAGAGGGUGAGAGCCCCGUACGGUUGGAUACCGAGCCUCUGUAAAGCUCCUUCGAC
rnacentral:rRNA from 1 species